rnacentral:ncRNA from 1 species
UAGGUCACCUUUCAAACUACUGCUAAAUCCAUGGGCAGGCAAGAGACAACCUGGUGAACUGAAACAUCUUAGUAACUAGAGGAAAAAGAAAAGCAAAAGAGAUUCCCUUAGUAGCAACGAGUGAAAUGGGAGUAGCCUAAAUCGUAAAAACGGGGUUGUGGGAGAGCAAUACAAGCGUCAUGCUGCUAGGCGAAGCGGUGGAGUGCUGCACCCUAGAUGGCGAGAGUCCAGUAGCCGAAAGCAUCACUAGCUUACGCUUUGAUCCGAGUAGCAUGGGGACGUGGAAUCCCGUGUGAAUCAGCAAGGACCACCUUGCAAGGCUAAAUACUCCUGCAUGACCGAUACCGAAGUAGUACCGUGAGGGAAGGGUGAAAAGAACCCCUAUUGGGGAGUGAAAUAGAACAUGAAACCGAAAGCUCCCAAGCAGUGGGAGGAGCCCGGGGCUCUGACCGCGUGCCUGUUGAAGAAUAAGCCGGCGACUCAUAGGCAAUGGCUUGGUUAAAGGAACUCACCGGAGCCAUAGCGAAAGCGAGUCUUCAUAGGGCAGUUGUCACUGCUUAUGGAUCCGAACCUGGGUGAUCUAUCCAUGACCAGGAUGAAGCUUAGGUAAGUGGAAGUUUGAACCGACUAAUGUUGAAGAAUCAGCAGAUGAGUUGUGGUUAGGGGUGAAAUGCCACUCGAAUUCAGAGCUAGCUGGUUCUCCCUGAAAUGCAUUGAGGCGCAGCAGUUGAGUGGACAUCUAGGGGUAAAACACUGUCUCGGUGCGGGCCGCUAGAGCGGUACCAAAUCGAGGCAAACUCUGAAUACUAGAUAUGACCUCAAAAUAACAAGGGUCAAAGUCGGCCACUGAGACGAUGGGGGAUAAGUUUCAUCAUCGUGAGGGAAACAACUCGGAUCACCAGCUAAGGCCCCUAAAUGACCGCUCAAUGAUAAAGGAGGUGAUAAGCAUCAUACUGUACAUGUUUUCAUGCCCGAUUGUUCACAUUUUUAUGCAUGAUUAUCCCGUUUUAUGCUAGAAUCACCUGUCUUUUGUUUCCCUUUUCAUUUCAGGUCAUUUUCGAAGGACACCAUCAGUAAUCGAGGGAAAUACGUGGGAUUACGGAGCAAAAUCUAUCAAAUUGGGCGAGAACAAGCACCCCGAGGGUUGAGCACGGCCUGGACUCCGGCCGUGCUGAAUUAUCAAGAGGCUAUCCCCA